rnacentral:rRNA from 1 species
UGGGGAAUAUUGGACAAUGGGCGCAAGCCUGAUCCAGCCAUGCCGCGUGAGUGAUGAAGGCCUUAGGGUUGUAAAGCUCUUUUGUCCGGGAAGAUAAUGACUGUACCGGAAGAAUAAGCCCCGGCUAACUUCGUGCCAGCAGCCGCGGUAAUACGAAGGGGGCUAGCGUUGCUCGGAAUCACUGGGCGUAAAGGGCGCGUAGGCGGACUCUUAAGUCGGGGGUGAAAGCCCAGGGCUCAACCCUGGAAUUGCCUUCGAUACUGAGAGUCUUGAGGUCGGAAGAGGUUGGUGGAACUGCGAGUGUAGAGGUGAAAUUCGUAGAUAUUCGCAAGAACACCAGUGGCGAAGGCGGCCAACUGGUCCGAUACUGACGCUGAGGCGCGAAAGCGUGGGGAGCAAACAGG